rnacentral:rRNA from 1 species
UACAGAGGGUGCGAGCGUUAAUCGGAAUUACUGGGCGUAAAGCGUGCGUAGACGGUUAUUUAAGUCGGAUGUGAAAGCCCCGGGCUCAACCUGGGAAUUGCAUUCGAGACUGAAUAGCUAGGGUGCGGUAGAGGGAAGCGGAAUUUCCGGUGUAGCGGUGAAAUGCGUAGAUAUCGGAAGGAACAUCAGUGGCGAAAGCGGCUUCCUGGACCAGCACCGACGUUCAGGCACGAAGCGUGGGGAGCAAACAGG